rnacentral:rRNA from 1 species
GAACGCGAAGAACCUUACCAGGUCUUGACAUCCCGAUGCUAUUUCUAGAGAUAGAAAGUUACUUCGGUACAUCGGUGACAGGUGGUGCAUGGUUGUCGUCAGCUCGUGUCGUGAGAUGUUGGGUUAAGUCCCGCAACGAGCGCAACCCCUAUUGUUAGUUGCCAUCAUUCAGUUGGGCACUCUAGCGAGACUGCCGGUAAUAAACCGGAGGAAGGUGGGGAUGACGUCAAAUCAUCAUGCCCCUUAUGACCUGGGCUACACACGUGCUACAAUGGUUGGUACAACGAGUUGCGAGUCGGUGACGACGAGCUAAUCUCUUAAAGCCAAUCUCAGUUCGGAUUGUAGGCUGCAACUCGCCUACAUGAAGUCGGAAUCGCUAGUAAUCGCGGAUCAGCACGCCGCGGUGAAUACGUUCCCGGGUCUUGUACACACC